GCCAGGCACAGUGGCGAGCGCCUGUAGUCCCAGCUACUUGGGAGGCUGAGGAAGGAGACUGGCUUGAGCCCAGCAGUUGUAGAUUGCUGUGAGCUGUGAUGCCACAGCACUCUACCCAGGGGGACAGUUUGAGGCUCUGUCUCAAAAAAAAAAAAGAGAAAGAAACAGAAUCUCACUUUGUCACCCUAGGUAGAGUGCUAUGGCAUUACAGCUCACAGCAACCUCCACCUCUCCGGCUUAGGCAAGUCUCAGCCUCGGA
rnacentral:sRNA from 1 species